rnacentral:rRNA from 1 species
CAGGCUUAACACAUGCAAGUCGAGGGGCAGCAUGGUCUUAGCUUGCUAAGGCCGAUGGCGACCGGCGCACGGGUGAGUAACACGUAUCCAACCUGCCGUCUACUCUUGGACAGCCUUCUGAAAGGAAGAUUAAUACAAGAUGGCAUCAUGAGUCCGCAUGUUCACAUGAUUAAAGGUAUUCCGGUAGACGAUGGGGAUGCGUUCCAUUAGAUAGUAGGCGGGGUAACGGCCCACCUAGUCUUCGAUGGAUAGGGGUUCUGAGAGGAAGGUCCCCCACAUUGGAACUGAGACACGGUCCAAACUCCUACGGGAGGCAGCAGUGAGGAAUAUUGGUCAAUGGGCGAGAGCCUGAACCAGCCAAGUAGCGUGAAGGAUGACUGCCCUAUGGGUUGUAAACUUCUUUUAUAAAGGAAUAAAGUCGGGUAUGGAUACCCGUUUGCAUGUACUUUAUGAAUAAGGAUCGGCUAACUCCGUGCCAGCAGCCGCGGUAAUACGGAGGAUCCGAGCGUUAUCCGGAUUUAUUGGGUUUAAAGGGAGCGUAGAUGGAUGUUUAAGUCAGUUGUGAAAGUUUGCGGCUCAACCGUAAAAUUGCAGUUGAUACUGGAUAUCUUGAGUGCAGUUGAGGCAGGCGGAAUUCGUGGUGUAGCGGUGAAAUGCUUAGAUAUCACGAAGAACUCCGAUUGCGAAGGCAGCCUGCUAAGCUGCAACUGACAUUGAGGCUCGAAAGUGUGGGUAUCAAACAGGAUUAGAUACCCUGGUAGUCCACACGGUAAACGAUGAAUACUCGCUGUUUGCGAUAUACAGCAAGCGGCCAAGCGAAAGCGUUAAGUAUUCCACCUGGGGAGUACGCCGGCAACGGUGAAACUCAAAGGAAUUGACGGGGGCCCGCACAAGCGGAGGAACAUGUGGUUUAAUUCGAUGAUACGCGAGGAACCUUACCCGGGCUUAAAUUGCAGAUGAAUUACGGUGAAAGCCGUAAGCCGCAAGGCAUCUGUGAAGGUGCUGCAUGGUUGUCGUCAGCUCGUGCCGUGAGGUGUCGGCUUAAGUGCCAUAACGAGCGCAACCCUUGUUGUCAGUUACUAACAGGUUCCGCUGAGGACUCUGACAAGACUGCCAUCGUAAGAUGUGAGGAAGGUGGGGAUGACGUCAAAUCAGCACGGCCCUUACGUCCGGGGCUACACACGUGUUACAAUGGGGGGUACAGAGGGCCGCUACCACGCGAGUGGAUGCCAAUCCCCAAAACCUCUCUCAGUCCGGACUGGAGUCUGCAACCCGACUCCACGAAGCUGGAUUCGCUAGUAAUCGCGCAUCAGCCACGGCGCGGUGAAUACGUUCCCGGGCCUUGUACACACCGCCCGUCAAGCCAUGGGAGCCGGGGGUACCUGAAGUGCGUAACCGCGAGGAGCGCCCUAGGGUAAAACUGGUGGCUGGGGC